GGAUGUAGCUCAGUUGGUAGAGCCCCGGAUUGUGAUUCCGGUUGUCGUGGGUUCGAAUCCCAUCAUU
rnacentral:tRNA from 1 species